GACGAACGCUGGCGGCGUGCUUAACACAUGCAAGUCGAACGGAAAGGCCCUGCUUUUGUGGGGUGCUCGAGUGGCGAACGGGUGAGUAACACGUGAGUAACCUGCCCUUGACUUUGGGAUAACUUCAGGAAACUGGGGCUAAUACCGGAUAGGAGCUCCUGCUGCAUGGUGGGGGUUGGAAAGUUUCGGCGGUUGGGGAUGGACUCGCGACUUAUCAGCUUGUUGGUGGGGUAGUGGCUUACCAAGGCUUUGACGGGUAGCCGGCCUGAGAGGGUGACCGGCCACAUUGGGACUGAGAUAAGGCACAGACUCCUACGGGAGGGAGCAGUGGGGAAUAUUGCACGAUGGGCGGAAGCCUGAUGCAGCAACGCCGCGUGCGGGAUGACGGCCUUCGGGUUGUAAACCGCUUUCGCCUGUGACGAAGCGUGAGUGACGGUAAUGGGUAAAGAAGCACCGGCUAACUACGUG
rnacentral:rRNA from 1 species